UACGAAGGGGGCUAGCGUUGUUCGGAAUCACUGGGCGUAAAGCGCACGUAGGCGGAUCUUUAAGUCAGGGGUGAAAUCCCGAGGCUCAACCUCGGAACUGCCUUUGAUACUGGGGAUCUCGAGUCCGGGAGAGGUGAGUGGAACUGCGAGUGUAGAGGUGAAAUUCGUAGAUAUUCGCAAGAACACCAGUGGCGAAGGCGGCUCACUGGUCCGGUACUGGACGCUGAGGUGCGAAAGCGUGGGGAGCAAACAGG
rnacentral:rRNA from 1 species